GGAUUGUAGCCAGGGUUGCCAGCUGCCAGCUGGGCAUUUAUCUGGUUCUCCACACUGGCGGGGGAGAAGGCGUCGGCCACCCGGUCUCUGCAGAAUGACUUGUACUUCCAGAUCACAAUUGGGGUUGAGAUGGAGCUGCUCAUCUGAUAGGUGCAGGGCAGCGUCACCGGCUGGAACAGGAUCACCACGUGGUAGGGGUCCGACACGGUCACCUGGAUGGUGUUGGCCGGAGCUGGGAGCAGAGAAGCCAACAGGGAGAGCUGAACUCAGCGGGUCCCGCAACAGCAAGGAGCCAACUUAACAGGGUCUCCCGAGCUAGGCGGAAUCUGGUGGUCUCGAAUCUGCACCCUCGAACUAGCCAUCACCCCUGCCUCUUGGUUCCAGCUCCUCCAGGACCGGUGAAAACCGCAGCCCUCCAUCUACCUUCUGUAGUGCCCUCCCGCCGUCCCACAGCACCGGGGACCCCAUUCCUUACCUGGACAGUAAGUGACGAGAAAGAGCCACACGAAGAACAUAGUGAUCGGGAGGGAGCCAGGCGCCUCAGAAGGCGCGCUGGGCGCCGGCGCCGGCGCCAUCGCGGCCGUCUAGCAGCGACGGAGCCCGCGCGUCCCCUCCCAAGUAUCCCAAGAGUAGGGGGCGCGGUGAGCACCAAGGCCGAGAAGGGUACUUGAUCCGCCCGGCCCUUAAUCCAAGUCCAUUUUCUCCACACUGAAGGAGUUCUAACCUACAAAAAAAACUUGGACGAAGCUCAUGUCUUCGGCUCUCCCGGGACAACUGACCCGGGGCGCGAUGGCUCUCUGGGUCACUCCACCCCCUGUGCACUCCUAGGAAUGGAUCCGCCCAGGGCCUGAACCAAGUGACCACUUAGCCCGGAGGGCGCCCGCGCCGCAGGCGUUGUGUGCAACCACCUGCUGCUCUGGCCAAAGUUGAUAGGACCGUGCUCCCGGAAGACAGAGACCCCCUGGGGGUACUCUACCUGCCGAGAGGGACCGGCCUUGCCGCGCACCUGUUCGCUGCCGGUCCCACCCCUGUCUCCAGCGCCGAUGGACCCGCCUAGGUCACGCUUCCGGAAGUUCUGACGCUUCAAGGCGCUGUGCCAAGAUUGGAGGCCAGGAGACUUGUUUCGGUUCAAAGGUUCCCAGACCGUCACCUGCACCCCGGGAGCGGCCAGCCGCUCUCGGCCUUCUCAGCGUUACACUGCUGCUCCCUGGUGGCGUCGAGGGGAAGCGCAUACUAGGAGAUUGUGAACUGGCUGGUGGGUUGGGAAUAUCAUUUUCUUCUCUGUCUUGUAAAACUCGGUCACAUCCUUCUGCUCAGGAAUAUCCUGUAGCCCCUCCUUACUCCCAAGAAAAAUUCAAAAUACUCAUACCGGCCUGAAUGUCCCUCCCCAACGUCACUUUGCACUCUUCGCUUAUUUGGCUUCAGCCACACUGACCUGGCGUGCCCCAAAUCAGACUUAAUGGCUGGUGUCGCUACCAGAAUUCCUUUCCUGCUGCGGACACCUCACCCCAUUUUCCUCAGGGCCGCAUUCAAAGACAAACCCUUCUCAUAAAAUUUCACCCUGCUCAUGAGCCGUGAUGAUUUAAAAAUAGAGGAAAUCAUCAUA